GCGCUUCUCAGUUUCGUGUCUAAGGCGACGGAGCCUGGCUCCUGCGCAGGCUUCGCUCGCCGCUGCCUGAUCGCCGAGGGCACUGCCUCUCGUUUGAACCCUCUGAGGGAAAGCGGUAAAAGAGGUGUAUUCAGCCGAGGCCUCCGCUGGACUGUCCGGCUGUGGCGAGUUACACGGUGAUGAGCUGCUAAAGGAAGGGCAAAGUCCUUCGUGGCAAAGCACCCAGAUUAAGUACGGAGAGGUGGAUCCUGACAUCAAACCAACCUGCUCCUAAAAAUUACAGUCAGUGACCAGAAAACAAACCAGAUUCGAUCUGACGCAGGUUCCAACCAGCAGCCGGCUGCCAUUUUAUAGAAUCUUGGAGCAACAGAUUGCAAUCCCAAUCAGCCGCAAACAACUGUCUUGAGGAGAUGAUUUCAUCCUCCAUGAACACCACAGAUGAGGUCAGAAUGACUCCAUUGUUUAUCUACAACAAGCCCCUUUGACAUGAGCCUGCUAACAAGAACACAGAUCCUCCAACUUCCAUUCUUGGCCUCCUGGAUUUGUUGAGGUUAAAGUUUAUAUCCUAGAUACACAUAGGGAAAAACAUUUUCUGCUAGCUGAGACUUCCCUUCAUUGCAAAACAAUUCCAAUUGUAAAUUUUCCCAUCUGCAGCUAAUUUACUGCUCCAUAUAAAAAGUCUCCGGGGUAACCACCUUCUGAGACACUCUGGCCCUUGGAUUUGAGGUCCUUUUGCUAUUGCAAUGACUUGAAUAAAGUCAGUAUCCAUAAUUGCUCACUUUUUGUCUUUGACAGUGGGAUAUCAAGAAUCAGAUAGGACAGAAUCUGAGCCUGGGACCCCUGGUUUCCCUGCCCAGGGACUGAGGUCUCUUGGAGCCCUGUGCUUCGGUCCUGAGUCGCAAUCCAGGAAUCCAACAGUGAGCCGAUUUCUGGUCUCCACUCAUAUGUUCCCAUCCUAUAUAGCAGAGUGAGGAUUUGAUUUCUAUUAUUUUUGAGUUCUGGCCUGA